GGCAGGGAAUGAUAUGACUGAAAUUGCUUCUGUAAAGAGUUUUCUUAAUUAGACUUUUCGCAUCAAAGAUCUGGGCACAUUAAAGUUUUUCCUUGGCUUAGAAAUAGCUAGAAAUUCUAAAGGCAUGGUGAUUAAUCAACGCAAGUAUGCUUUAGAAAUUCUUUCAGAUGCUAGAUAUCUUGCUUCCAAACCUGUUUCGACACCAAUGGAUAGUUCUUUGAAAUUAAGCAAAACUAGUGGUACUCUUCUUUCUGAUGUUGCUUCCUACAGGCGAUUGAUUGGCAGACUCUUAUAUCUCACCACCACAUGACCUGAUCUUACUUAUGCUGUCCAAUAGCUAAGUCAAUAUCUUACUGCCCCAACUGAUAAUCAUUUAAAGGAUGCCCAUCGUGUUUUGCGAUAUAUUAAAAAGUCUCCAGGCCUUGGUUUAUUUUUCCCUGCUAACUCUCAACUCCAAUUGAAAUACUUUGUUGAUUCUGAUUGGGCAGGGUGUCCUGAUACUAGGCGAUCAGUUACGGGUUUUAGUGUUUUUUUGGGAAUCUCUUUAGUUUCUUGGAAAUCUAAGAAGCAAACAACUGUUUCGCGCUCCUCUUCAGAAGCUGAAUAUAGGGCUCUCGCAGCAGUGACUUGUGAAAUCCAGUGGCUAACGUAUUUACAUGCAGAUUUUCAAUGUCUUUUAAGCAACCUACCUUGGUGUAUUGUGAUAAUAAGUCCGCUUUGCAUAUAGUUGCGAAUCCCAUCUUUCAUGAGCGUUCGAAACACAUUGAAUUGGGUUGUCAUUUGGUUCGUGAAAAGCUUCAGCGAGGUCUUAUUAAGUUGCUUCUUAUUUCUACUUCAUCACAGAUAGCUGAAAUCUUCACUACGCCCUUGACACCUGC
rnacentral:misc_RNA from 1 species